UAAAAUAUCUCUUAGAUUGGUUAGUUCUAGAAUGCGUCACAUGCAAUGAUGGGAAAGUGCUGACUGUGUGUAUAAAUUAUUUCAGAUAAGAGAAGGAAGAUUGCAAGGGGUGGGGCAGUGUCUUAUCCGUGAGUAUAGAAUGGCAUGUCAUGUGUUCAAGGGAGAAUCAGUAAAGACUUUUUGGAGGGGUGUAGAGCCAUAUUGAUAGACAAAGAUAGGAAACCAAAGGUCGUAUUGCUGAAAUUAUAGUGGGAGCCAAGGCGACUAGAGGACAUGAAGGAUAGCAUGGUAGAUCAGUAUUUUGAGAGAAU